rnacentral:lncRNA from 1 species
UCAUCUAAGAUAACUGAUGGUUCAAGAUAAAAUCAAGUUAUAAUACUCUCGAAAGAGUAAACUCCUAAUGGCUUAAAUAUAAGUCUAUAUACUCAGAAUUGGAAUCGUUUACAAGUUAUGGUCAUACUCGCUUUAAUAGGCAUUCGUGGGGAUCUUUUAACAAUUACAAAAACAUGUUCCUAGAGAAUGAGUAACCUAUGAACAACUCCCGUCAUUUGGAUACUAAGACUCAACCCCACAAAACUGGCUUGUAAGGUGAGGUCUGCAUCCCACUUAUAUAUUAUAAAUUGGCCUUAUCUCUAUUCGAUGUGGGACUUCCAACACACCCUCCUCACGCCGAUGUAUAUACAUAUCGAACGUGAGACAAGAUAUUAAUGGGUGGUCCGAUAACGGCCCAAACCGGCUUGUAAGGUGAGAGGUCUGCACCCCACUUAUAUAUUAUAAAUUGGCCUUAUCUUUAUCCGAUGUGAAACUUCCAACACACCCCCCUCACGCCGAUGUAUAUACAUAUCGAGCGUGAGACUAGAUAUUAAUGGGUGGUCCGAUAACGGCCCAAUAGCGGGUGGAACAAGAUGUGGAACUUGUAACGCCCCGACAACUUACAGGGACUGUUGACUGCCCCCACACAUCACCACGAGACUUUCCAGUGUGCUUUGUCCUCACUCGCACACUUUCCGGGAAAACUUCCCGGAAGGUCACCCAUCCCAGAAUUUCUCCAGGCUAAGCACGCUUAACCAUGGAGUUCUUAUGGGUUAGGUUUCCGAAAAGCAAAUGCAUUUUGGUGAUAUGGGUAGCCAAAUCAAUUCCUUUAAGCUAUCCUUCAACUGUAUAGUCACAUACCUAUACAGUCUCGAGAUCCCUCUCAUUCCGGUGUAUGUUCGAUUCCUCCAUGUGCCCCUUCCACUCGAAGCCUGCCAGGAGCCGCUCCUUGUCUGUGCCCCCUACACCAUGCUUCUUGCACCGGCGAUCACUUCCCGCCCUCGUCAGUGCCCGGGUGUCACAGAACUUCCAAUACUCUUCCCUUUUAGAAAGUCAGAAAUAAAGUCUCUUUAUUCUUACGUUAGUCUCAAAUAGAAAUGGCAACGGUCAGGUUGAUAUGGAUAAUGUCUACGUAUAAUAUGAUUAAACAAAAAAAAAUUAUCUGUUACUGAUACGAAUAUCCGUUUAAAAAAUAUUUGUGAAUAUUUUAAAACUCAAGAAUAGUUAUGAAUACCUGCAAAUACUCACAAAUAUUUAAAAAAUAUAUUUUUUAUAAAUUAUUAAAAUAAAAUUACAAAAAUAUAAUAAAUUGAAAUUUAAUUUUAAUUAAAUUUAACCUUAUAAAAUAUAAAUUAAUGUUAAUUUUAAUUAAAUUUAACUUAAUAAAAUAUAAAUUAAAAUUUUAUUUUUAUUUUUUGUUGGUAGUGGAUAUCCGUAUAUACAAAUAGUAUAAUACUCAUACCUGACUCGUGUAUUAAAAUAUCUGUUAUCCGCAACCUACAAAUAGUUAUCCGCAACUUACUAAUAGUAAAUAUUCACAAAUAUCAACUAUCUGUUACGGAUUUUAUUUUAUCUGCAAUAUUCUGGAUGUGAAUAUUUUUUUCAUCCCUAAUAGUCAAGUAUCGGGCCUUAAUAAAAACUUCACUCACUUUUCUAAAAGAUGUCCUUGACAAGCUAAUAGUGUCCAAAAGCAAUCCUCAUGUUGGGCUAAUCUUCUCACCAUCUAAAACUUCCAAAGGAAGUCUAAACCUUAAAAG